CUCAAUUUGACAACAUUUACAAUGUUGAAAUCACCAACAUCGAAGUUAAUUUUCCAACCGUGUUUAUUAACACACUGGCCUCCAUUUUAUUUUUAAUCUGGAUGUGCAAAUUCUGAAACGUCGGUACAGUUUUGAAGUUUUGUGUUUUAAAUAAUGUUUAAAAACAUUAGAAAUUGUUUAAAUGAGUAGCGCUGACUGGGAAGUAUAGAAAUUUAUUGUUGAUCAGAAUCCAUUUGGCGAUUUGUCUAUCGAGUAAAUGAAGCCCACUUUCUGGUCCAGUUAAAAAUCGAUCGAUCGUAGCAGAUAAAUAAUCGUGAUCAUCUGGUAUCCACUUACAAUUUUUGCAGAGGAAAAAAGUUUAUAUUCAAUGUUGUGUGUGGACUCGUAAAUCCCUCGUCAGACGCUUAUCAUUCUUCAAGGAGCGUUUUCACAUUAUUGGGGCCCAAACGAUCGAACUCACAUGCAGCAAUACAGUUCCUAAUCUAAAUAUAAGCAGAUGACCUAUGCUGCAGCUGCAAAACAGUUAUGCGCAUAGUUUUCGAUUUACCACUAUUUAAUAUUAUGUCGUAUCUAUGUAAUGUUAAUG